rnacentral:rRNA from 1 species
AUUGAACGCUGGCGGUAGGCCUAACACAUGCAAGUCGAACGCGAAAGUCCUUCGGGAUGAGUAGAGUGGCGGACGGGUGAGUAACGCGUAGGAAUCUAUCCUGUAGUGGGGGAGUAACGUUUCGAAAGGAACGCUAAUACCGCAUACGCCCCAACGGGGGAAAGCGGGGGAGUCUUCGGACCUCGUGCUAUAGGAGGAGCCUGCGUCGGAUUAGCUAGUUGGUGAGGUAAAGGCUCACCAAGGCGACGAUCCGUAGCUGGUCUGAGAGGAUGAUCAGCCACACCGGAACUGAGACACGGUCCGGACUCCUACGGGAGGCAGCAGUGGGGAAUAUUGCGCAAUGGGCGAAAGCCUGACGCAGCCAUACCGCGUGUGU